CAAUCUGAAAACGGUCGCACGGUUUGCUUCCAUUUCCGUGUUGAACGACAUGUUUCCUCGGAACGGUGUGAAAUGCCUUUGAGUUAUGUUUUCACUUGUUUAGUGAGUGUGUCUCUCGUUUAAAGGCACACACACA